GCCACAGCCACUAACGAAAAAGUUGAAGACCACAGCAGAUUGAAAACAAAAGUCCCUUAGGGGUAGGGCACACAUACUGAGAGGUUGAAACACUCAAACUCCGUACAAACUCUACUCUUUCAUUUAUGUUCUGAAUUAUUCCUUCCCUUCAGUUUUUAUUGCAGUUUUACAUGUCACCUUUGUAGGCAAUUUUACCAAGUUAUCAAAGAUGUUCAUUCCGUUGGUGUUCGUGUUAACUGAUUUGUCUUGUUUCUACUUCCAGCCAAGUUGAAGAAACGUCUUAGUGAUGCUUUCAAAAGUUGUCCACUGAGAAACUUGUUCUAAACAAGACUCAAAACGAAAAGAUGAGAGUCCUGCGAUGAUGAUAUGAUUCGGUCUCGGUUUCAGAUUACACAAACGCAUGCAUACGGUGCCCGUGAACAGUACAGGUGUACGGGUGUCUCACCGUCUACAUAUGUUUGUAUGUAUGCAUGUGUGCAUGAUAGUAAGAAAAACAACCGGCUUCGGCUAGCCGAAGCUCACGUGCUCUUUUAACCCUUCAACGUGCAUUGUCUGCCUGCUCUUGUUCGGCCCAGGACAUGCCAUGGGUGCUAUACUAACUUGUGUCUGAACUAGGUUUACCUCGACUACAUUCAUUUUAAAAUGGUAAUACAUACGUACCCGGGAAGGUGCCCAGCUAUACUGCUAUAUAUGACCAGUGUGUUUGCACGUUGGAUAUCUGAUCACAUAGUAUUAGAACUUGUGAAAUCACUUGAAUGAAAUCACAACGCACAGUGAUGCAGUUAGUUCCUUUGUACUCCAACGAUAAGCCAAGCUACGUGCAUAUAUAAAUAUAUAUUUUAGGGGCGCUCGAAAUCCGAUUACUCCGUAGGCACAACGAUUAGAGGAUAUCAAAUUAACGGUACAUCUACUUACCAAUCGAAUAGACAAAGAAAUACAUUUAGCAACAAAUUGUGAAAAAAUCAAUGAUGAAUUAACAACGAGAUUAGUUUAGAUCAACUAGAAUAGCAUAUUCGCCACAUCCCAUACCAGACCAGACCAGUCUUUCAACGGUGCAGAGGGCACAUUCUCAGAGCAUUCGCAGAGCAUACAUAUAGAAGCACUAGCAUACAUAUGUACGAGUACUGUAGAUGGUUCUAGUGUUUUCGUUAUAUGCCAAAUAAGAUUAAUAAGAUUUUUCAAAGUACCUGAAAUUCCAAUGACCCUAGUGGAAGUCUAGUAUUAGGUUAAGGUCCUUGAAACGAUCUAAAGUAUUGCUGAGUUUAGACGAUUUCUGAUAGACAUACAUAUGUAUGUACAUGUACUAUACAAUCUGCUCAAUCAUUCUUCUAUGUAUUUGCGUAUUUCAACCUAUAUUUCACGAUAUCAUACGAAUAACUACUUAAUAAAUAUGGCAUAGUAAAAACCGAUCCGACUCGGCUCGCCGAUGAUUCCAUAUCUUUUCCAAGAGUAUUCGAAAGAUGUUGGCGAUGUUACCGACAUAAGUACCGACAUUUGUAAGUCCGAUCGGAAGGAUAUUCGAACUUCAUACUUUUUACGGUCCUGUGUCUGUUCAGGCCCAACCACCCUAUGAAGGAUAGUUGGAAAAGAUAUCUGCCGUUUUUACAACAAUCAUUCAAUAAUACAAUCAUAUCUAUACCUUAACGAUUUCGUGUCUUAAUUUUGAAUAUUACAAGAGUUUACAAGUUAAUGAUGAAGGAUAAAAGAGAUUCAAAAAUGUGAAAACACGAACAUUCGGAUGAAAACGCAAAAACAAAAGCAGCUAGCAGAAGUAAUUAUAGCCUAAGUAUAUAUAAUUUACAUACCAAAAUGACCGACUGAAAUUAUUGUUAAACGUUUUAUGAACUAUACUUGCAUAUAUACAUAUAUUGAUAUGAUCAAGUAAAGAGCAAAGAAAGAAAAUAAAUAAAUAAAGAAAUAUAUAUACAAGAAAUUCAUAUGAAUAUAUUAAAGUUUCUAUACCUUAAUCAACCAUAAAUUUGCGAUUCAAUAUAUACAUGCAAAACCUAAAUAUAAAGGUAGAUGAACGAAAUCUAUUUUUAACGAUGCCGCAACGAGCAUACCCGAAAUGAAAUUUAAAAAAAUAUCGAGUAUCUAGGGCCAUAUACAAUUUAUGCCAAAUCGAACAAUAGUUUGAAAAAGGUGCUGAUUCAAAAGUAAAAAUACUUUCCUGUAUAAUUUAAUUUUAUAAAACAAAAAUCCAGUUGCGGCAACUAAUCCUCUGGUAAAAGUUGAAGCUGAAAGCAUCCCAAGAGUCUAAGCAAACCGAAUUCUACGGAUGGCACCUCUCGUCUAUGCUAGAACAAUGAACAAUUUAGGUACCGAGUAAGGUCUCGGAUUUCCUCAAAUACAUCUUAAUAAUAGUUAUCAUCUAGCCAGUUAUUGAAGUUCAACUUAGCGUUCGUGUUUAUCUAAGGCGACUGGUUCUGUCGAAGAAUAAGUACUACCCAUUGGCCUCUCUGUACGAGUCCACGUCUACCUACGCGGGCAAGUGCAUGGGUUUUGUUCUGAAUUGGAUUGUAUUCCAUUGUAUUGUAUUGCAUUGUAAUAUGUUAUAUUGUAUUUACUGUUGGAUCGUAUAUUAAUAUAGA
rnacentral:lncRNA from 1 species